ensembl:lncRNA
AACGCAGCAAGGAGCGCUGGAGCUAGUAGUCUAUGAACAGCAGUGCAUACAAUAACUUAUUUUCUUUUACUGUCAGUGAAUAGCAUCGAAUGAAAGUCAACGUUUUCUUUAUAUCUAGUGACAGUGAUUAUGUCAUUGGCUCAGAUAAGUACCCUAAACUUAGUCAGAAGAUCCAGAAAUAGAAGGCAUAUUAUGCCUUCUAUUUAUUCUAAAUAUGGGCUAGCUUGACAGUCCCACCUGUGAACCCCUAGUGUUUAUUCUAAGCUUUUACCUUUCUCCGGUGAAAAUGUUGUUUGCAAACGUAGCCGACGCCGAGUAGGCUGGUUAUGUCUUCAGUGUGAUUAUUUUUGAUAGUGCUAACUCGUUUUCCUCGUGAUUGCUUGUCAUUGAAACUGUCAGGGUACCGCUUACCGGGAGAGAGCAGUAAGCGUGUCUGUGUCGCUGUGUUUGGCAGGUGUCUGUGUGGGCGGUGUCGUCCCAUGGAAACUGUGGUGGAGAGCUUGUAUUGUAGGGAGGUGAGCGCGUUUUGGUCGCUGGUCGAGGAGCUCACCCCGCGGCCAGCAGAUGUAACGUGCCUAACGCAGCAUCCUGGAUUUGAGGCAUGCUGCCUGAAUCCGUUUGUGCUAAAAAUAGCAUACACACACUUCAGGCAGGAUCAUGGUCCCCUUCAAGUCAGCACGCACGAGCAAUACCGGUACACUGCGUACAGGCAAGCUAUACGCUGGGCUUAUGGCGUUUUAGGGAGGAGUAUAAGGAAGCCUCUACCCUCUUGUGUGGUUUCAACCAUCAGACAGCAAUUCCAGAAUGGUGACCAGACCUAUCAGGGCUUUCAAUGGCCUUGUUUGGAUUAAAAUGAAUACAAAUAAUAGUUAUGCUUAUUCUGUUGUGAUCAUUCAAUUGCCCUUAAAAUAUUAUAAAGUACACAGAACACAUGCAUUUUGGAUAAAAAAAAGUUGAUUGGCAUUGCUUGUAAUGGUUACUGAACAAAGACACAGGUUGGAAUUAAAUCUAUAUAAAAAAAUGGUUAGGCACAAAACAUACAAGGAACACUGAUGAAGGGCUAGACCCGCAAUGUUUAAUUCUAAUUCUAAUUAAUUCUGCAAUAGUGUAGUCAUACCCGAGGGUCAGUUGAUGGUUCUCUUUCUCUCACACACACACACACACACUAUUUCAUGCAGUGAUACAUGCAAAAGCACAUCAAGCAGACACACAGUGAGCCCAGACAACACCGCACACAGAGGUUGACAAGGCACAGGUAAAAUGAUUACCAAAUUAUUUUGAAUUACAUACAAAGAAAUUUCAUGCAAAUAACAACUAAAUCAUUGGACUUGUCCGUGGAAAAAAAUAAUAAUGUGAAAUUAGGUUUUCUUGAAGCGUGACUGCCGGGCUAGGUAGAGGCUGAUGGCCUCCUCCUUAGGAAUCUGUUCGAAGGAUUUGGCGAUGGGGGCGGGUGCAUCGGAGGACAGAUUGGCGCCAACCUCUCGAAGAACCGCGGGUGAAUUGGCGUAGCUCUCCCGAAGGGCCUUCAUUAAUGAUGUUGCAUAACCUGCAGACAUAAUAAUAAUAACAUUACUUUAUAAAGAUCAUUGUCACUGAUCACUUGUGCGCCAUCUCAAAAUAUGAUAGAACUGCCUGACACUGCUUACCGUAUGAGGCUGCCUCUUUGAUGGGACGCACCACAUGGGCACCUUUUCUGAAGCGCGGAUACCGCACGCAGUACUUCUCUGUCCCGUCACUUCUCCGUGCUGUCUCGCGAUUGGCAUUGUGAUUAUAAUGCAGCGCCGCUAAGAGUAGCCUACAAAAUAACACAUUUGAGAAAACCUUUGAAACUUGGUGUAUGACAAAAUACUACAAUAGGCACGUUAAUAGGUACUAUUAUUACUAUAAAAGGCAUAAUAAUUGGCAGUGUUAUUCCAUUGGAUAGCACUGACCUGCUAUACAUCCCAAGGUAUGAAAACCCUGUGUGCUUGGGCGAAGUGCAAGAUGAGGGAGUGGUAAGCCUCCAGGGAGAAGGUCUGGUGCUGUGGAGACAGCUGACGAACAUCUUUCAUCAAGGCAGCCCUCAUCAUUAUGUUCUCCAACUUGACUGCUGCCAAUGAGCCUGAAAAGACCAAGACAGGUAGGCAGGGAGGCAGACAGAAACACAUACGGAAAACAUACAAAUAAACAGGAAGAUGGACAGACAGAAUUCCUUUUUGAAAUGGAAACACAUGAAAUUGUCCUGCAUAUGAGAUUUACCUUGAGACCAUCGGGGGGGCUUCAAAAAACAUUGUGUCCCAGCGUCAGAAGUGGAGGAGGGCAAGGGCUGAUCCCCAGUAUCGACACUCUCCACAGUGUCUACACUGGCCACGGUCUCCUGCUGUGAGGCGUCUGUCAACAUCUUGCGAAAACAAAUAUAAAAAAGUAUAUUAGUAUAAAGUAUAGUAUAUAUAAGUAUAUAAAAGGUCACGGUCAAAUACAGUAUAUGUGAAAGAGAACAGUAGCAGUCUAGCACUAACACAAAACGCAAACACACUGUUGUGAAAGCCGCUUGAUGUUGACGAUCACUGAUCCAAACACUAGCCAUGAAGCUUUCAUGACGAUAUGGACAUUUACUUCAGGGCAAUUUUGUUUUGGCUCAUAUUCGUGAAUCACGAAAUAUGCUCUUCUAAUGUCAGACUGAUCAUGCUUGUAGAUGAGGCUGUGUCAAAGGGAACACGGUAUGCAAAAUACACAGAGCUAGCUAACGCGCAGCUUGUAAUUAGCAGCUAUAGCAUGAUGCUUACCGUGGCAAUCUCUCGCUUGCGGCAGACGGUGUCUCUCGACCUCGGGACAGGGCAGGCAGAGUGGUUUGCAUGCACAGACGGCACGGCGGUAGGAAUUAACUUCGCCGUCCUCUUACUCUUUAAACCAAGUGAGACCAUCUUGGCAUCCCCUGAGUGGUAAUCCUCCUCCUUGAAAUGCGCGCUGCAUAUUCUGGAGUACGCGGUAACAGAGCUAGCUGAAAAAUCUGCCCGCCUAAACUUGACAAAUUGCACCCAGCUUCGGAGAAUCCCUUUGUCCUUGUGGAAGCAAUGGACCCUAUGUCCACUUUUGCUGGAGUUGUUGCACCCGCCACAAAUACAGUAGAAAACCAUGUUAUCUACUUAUAUAUCUUCUCUCUCUCUCUCUCUCUCUCUCUCUCUCUCUCUCUCUCUCUCUCUCUCUCUCUCUCUCUCUCUAUAUAUAUGUUAUGCUAUGCUAUGCUAUCCCUCACUAUCUAUCGAUGUUAUGCUAUUCUAU